UCCCUCUCCGAUAUGCACUCACUCUCUCUCUCUCUCUCUCUCUCCCGAUCCACCACUCUCUCACCGGAUCCUUCCUACUCUGAUCGAGACACUCUAAAGCGGAAGUACUCGUCCAUGGCAGAAGACGGCGUCGGCGGCGGCGGAUUUUCGGGUUUCGAAGUCGCACAGACGAGUCGAGUUCGGGUUUUGAAGGGUUACAGCGUGUGCUUCCAAGUCGGAGAGGAACGGGAGUAAUGCUGGCGCGACAGCCUGAGUUCGAGUCCGGGUCGGGUCCGAGACCAAGUUCAUAUCGGUCGCCGGCUGGGUCAGCGCCACCGUCUCCUCCCUCGAGCGCUUCUCCUGCAUCAACGUCGCCACCAUGGACGCCGUCGAAAACGAGGCCGCCCGCCGCCCUCUCGCUCUCACCGAUCUCACGCACCCCGAUCAGCAAGAACACCACCACCACGCAAACGACGUCGCUCAGGUCG
rnacentral:lncRNA from 1 species